rnacentral:rRNA from 1 species
CUUUAGUGGCGAACGGGUGAGUAACGCGUGAAUAACCUGACCCAAAGAGGGGGAUAACAACGGGAAACUGUUGCUAAUACCGCAUGAGACCACAACACCGCAUGAUGAAGGGGUCAAAGAUUUAUCGCUUUGAGAGGGGUUCGCGUCCCAUUAGGUAGUUGGAGGGGUAACGGCCCACCAAGCCAACGAUGGGUAGCCGAGCUGAGAGGCUGAUCGGCCACACUGGAACUGAGACACGGUCCAG